rnacentral:rRNA from 1 species
GACGAACGCUGGCGGCGUGCCUAAUACAUGCAAGUCGAACGCACUCUCGUUUAGAUUGAAGGAGCUUGCUCCUGAUUGAUAAACAUUUGAGUGAGUGGCGGACGGGUGAGUAACACGUGGGUAACCUGCCCUAAAGUGGGGGAUAACAUUUGGAAACAGAUGCUAAUACCGCAUAAAACCUAAACACCGCAUGGUGUAGGGUUGAAAGAUGGUUUCGGCUAUCACUUUAGGAUGGACCCGCGGUGCAUUAGUUAGUUGGUGAGGUAAAGGCUCACCAAGACCGUGAUGCAUAGUCGACCUGAGAGGGUAAUCGGCCACACUGGGACUGAGACACGGCCCAGACUCCUACGGGAGGCAGCAGUAGGGAAUCUUCCACAAUGGACGAAAGUCUGAUGGAGCAACGCCGCGUGAGUGAAGAAGGUUUUCGGAUCGUAAAACUCUGUUGUUGGUAGAAGAAUGUAUCUGAUAGUAACUGAUCAGGUAGUGACGGUAUCCAACCAGAAAGCCAACGG